rnacentral:rRNA from 1 species
GCGCACCAGGCGAGAAACCUUCGCAAUGCAGGAAACUGCGACGAGGGAACUCCAAGUGCCUACGCUCAGCGUAGGCUGUUCUCAAGCCUAGAAAGCUUGAGGAGUAAGGGCUGGGUAAGACGGGUGCCAUCUGUGGUAGCAGUCAGUAGAUUCGAUUUGUUACUGCAAGGCAUAAGCCGCCGCGGUAAUACCCGCAGCCCAAGUGGUGGCCGCUUUUAUUGGGCCUAGAGCGUCCGUAGCCGGCCCGGUAAAUGCCUGGGUAGAUCGUGGAGCCCAACUUCACGAAUUCCGGGUAGACUGCCGAGCUCGGGACCGGAAGGAGGGAGAGGGUACUUCGAGGGGUAGGGGUGAAAAUUUCCGUUUCCAUUAACGCUUUUGCGCGAAGCGGAAAGGGUUAUC